UACGUAGGGACCAAGCGUUGUCCGGAAUCAUUGGGCGUAAAGCGCGCGUAGGCGGCCCGGUAAGUCCGUUGUAAAAAGUCGAAGGCUCAACCUUCGAAAGCCGAUGGAUACUGCCGGGCUAGAGUACGGAAGAGGCGAGUAGAAUUCCUGGUGUAGCGGUGGAAUGCGCAGAUAUCAGGAGGAAUACCCAUAGCGAAGGCAGCUCGCUGGGACGUUACUGACGCUGAGACGCGAAAGCGUGGGAGCGAACAGG
rnacentral:rRNA from 1 species